GCAAACAGCUGACUUUAACUGCUGUUAUCUUAACAGUGGUAACAAAAAUAUUACUUUUUUUAGUUUUGACAAAUGAGUUUCGUCCAGGAAAAGUGGUCAAAUGCCCGAUAGUGCGGUGGUUGGAUUUCGGCCAUUCUUACUAUCCACUUAAACAUCAAAACAUGGCCUACAUCAUGGACUCCGCCAGUAUGCCACCUGCUGCAGACAGUGAACAAACUGCCUAUAAAAUUGAUCAGGAAAAUACUCACUUUGCUUCUAAAAGUAUGGAAAUCGUAUAUUUUCGUAUAUUUUUCCAUCAUUUAGUGACAGUCCUAAGAGAGAGUGACGUUAUGGAUGGGCUACAAGGGUACAUAGAUAGCGACAAUCGUGUCGCUAGGACUUUGGCAACCCCCUCGCAAAACAGCGAGGCUAUGACAUUUGUAGGAUAGGAGUCUUGGCUAUUGCACAUAUUUGAUUUAUGGGAGAAUUGCACACAGGUAGACGAAUAAUUCUUUAUUCAUGUUAACUAGAACAUAUUCGGAAACUGUAGAAUCUUCACAGAAUCAGGGCCGUGCCGAGGAAUAUUUGCAAAACGGCGCCCCAAACACCCUAUAUAUUCACAAUUUUUUUUUUUCGCAAAUAAAAUACAAUUGAGG
rnacentral:lncRNA from 1 species